UGUGGGUCAAUUUUCAGCAGUAGUUGAAUCAUGACAAAGUAUUUUUAAUAAUUUUAUUUAACUUCUGGCUACUUGAAAAUUUCAUGCUGGAUGUUUGCUUACCAUUACUUUUUGCAUAAGAGCUCUAUGAUUGACAUUAAAGUCCACGGGCCAAUUCAUUUCUGAUAUAUCUAUAAUCUUUCCGAUAUCUUGUUAUAAUAUAAAUGACUGAACAUCAUUUUAGAAUUAUUUAAGGAAGAAAUACAUAUGUUCAUUCUUUGUAAAAAUGUUAGAAGACUUGCAAGUUACCGACUUAAUCAUUGCAUUUAUUUAUUAUUGAAAAAAUGCUGAACAGCUAGUCUCAACAGUGUUAUAGGCUAGAAUUUUCAGUUUGCAUUAGGGCCAAAAUAUAUUGUUAGUCAUGACGGCUUUCCUAUUGCUGUCAAAAAACUUUAACCUUGUUCAUAACUUUUUCAGAUCUUGGUGUAUUGUCUUCAUACAUGGCCACAACAACCCUUCAAAUAGACCAGACUAAACUUAAUUAACUUGACCACCAUAUUAACAUUCAAGAAGUUCGGCCUACAUGUCAGAUUUAUGAAUGUGAACAGCAGGAUAUCGAUUUUAAGGAUACUUUAGGGUCAAUGACAAUGAAAUCAUGAGAGAUAAAGGCUAAAAUGUGAGACUGUCAAUCUGACUAACCUUGAAGUGAAUAAAUGGAAAAAUGUUUCUUUCAAUAGCAUGGGCAUUUAAGGAAGAGGAAACAGAGGCGCUUAUAUGAUAGAACAGAUAAAGCAGGAGCGAUAAGGAAAGAUACAUGUAGAUGUGUCUUCAUGUCGGAAACACUUAAGAAAUAGAAAAAUUGUGGUUUUAUAAAACUUAAAAGAAAUUGGAAUACCAGGAGACUGCAUGUCCUUUGCAAUGUUGGAUAAUGAGUUCUUAGAUGUGAUGUCGAAAGCCUCAUGAAUAUAGUACCAUGACUUAAUCAAAUUAGAAAAAGAAAUGACAUUGAGGAGAAAACUAGUCACCAGUCUUUCACCAAUAACUAGUGAUAACUUUCCAAUAUUUGAAAUAUCAUAAUAUGUAUAGAACUUUAAUGAGCCACCAGUUUUUCACCAGGAAAAUAAGAUCACUUAACUAUUUUUAGCUCACCUGUCACAAAGUUAUAGGGUGAGCUUUUUUGAUCACUUUUCGUCCGGCGUCCGUCCGUAAACUUUUACUUUAAAGGAAAUCUCCUCAUAAACCACUAAGUUAAUUUCAUCCAAACUUUACAGGAAUGUUCCUUUGGUGGUCACCUUUAAAUAUUGUUCAUAGACUUUAAUUUCAUGCAGAAAGCUGGUUGCCAUGACAACCAAAAGAAAAUGGCUUAAAGUAUCUUCUUUUAAAGAACUCAAAGAGCUAGAGCUUAGACAAAGUAUCUUCUUUUAAAGAACCCAAAGAGCUAGAGCUUAGACAUUUGGCAUGAAACAUCUUCUAGUGAGUGUCUACCAAGUUUGUUCAAAUAAAAGCCCUGGGGUCAAAAUUGGCCCGGCCCCAAGGGGUCAUUGAUUUUCCCUAUAUGCAUAUAGUAAAAACUUAAAACC